UACGGGGGGGGCAAGCGUUGUUCGGAAUUACUGGGCGUAAAGGGCUCGUAGGCGGCCAACUAAGUCAUACGUGAAAUCCCUCGGCUUAACCGGGGAACUGCGUCUGAUACUGGAUGGCUUGAGUUCGGGAGAGGGAUGCGGAAUUCCAGGUGUAGCGGUGAAAUGCGUAGAUAUCUGGAGGAAUACCGGUGGCGAAGGCGGCAUCCUGGACCGGCAUUGACGCUGAUGAGCGAAAGCUAGGGGAGCAAACGGG
rnacentral:rRNA from 1 species